UACAGAGGUCUCAAGCGUUGUUCGGAUUCAUUGGGCGUAAAGGGUGCGUAGGUGGCGCGGUAAGUCGGGUGUGAAAUCUCGGAGCUUAACUCCGAAAUUGCAUUCGAUACUGCCGUGCUCGAGGACUGGAGAGGAGACUGGAAUUCAUGGUGUAGCAGUGAAAUGCGUAGAGAUCAUGAGGAAGACCAGUGGCGAAGGCGGGUCUCUGGACAGUUCCUGACACUGAGCACGAAGGCCAGGGGAGCAAACGGG
rnacentral:rRNA from 1 species